rnacentral:rRNA from 1 species
GAUGAACGCUGGCGGCGUGCCUAAUACAUGCAAGUCGAGCGAACAGACGAGGAGCUUGCUCCUCUGACGAUAGCGGCGGACGGGUGAGUAACACGUGGAUAACCUACUUAUAAGACUGGGAUAAUUUCGGGAAACCGGAGCUUAUACCGGAUAAUAUCUUGAACCACAUGGUUCAAUAGUGAAAGACGGUUUUGCGGUCACUUAUAGAGGGUUCCGCGCCGCAUUAUCAAGUUGGUAAGGUAACUGCUUACCAAGGCAACGAUGCGUAGCAGACCUGAGAGGGUGGUCGGCCGCACGCGAACUGAGACGGGGUCCAGAGUCCUGCGGGAGGCACCAGUAGGGAAGCUGACGCAAUAGGCGGAAAUCUGACGGAGCAAGGGCAAGGGAGUUGUGGAGGUCUUCGGGGCGGAAAACUCUGUUACGAGGGAUGAACAAAUGUGUAAGUGACUAUGGACGUAUUGACGGUACCUAAUCAAAAAGCAACGGCUAACUACGUG